CGCCAAUUUUAUUACAUUGAUUUACAUCAGCAAGGUCCCGUCAAAACAGUGAAUUCAUUGUGUCAUAGUUGUGUAAUUGAUAUCUAACUAAGAAAUAUAUUCUCAGAUUACCAAGACGAAUAAAAAAGAAAAGUUCGGCUGAGAAGAUCUGCUUCUCAUGAAGAUCUUAACAAAUGCCAACCAACUUGAUCCCCAUCCUAAAAUAUUCUACUUUUUCAUGAUAAGCAGGUUAUUGUGCACAAACAAGAUAGCUGAUAUUCCAACAAACAACAGGCAGCAUUGAACUGCACAAGAUCCCUGUAGUUUUAGUUUUGGUUGGAGGGCUGUCACAAUAUCCCUGUAAUUUUGGUUCUGGUUGCAAGGCUGUCAGACUCACAAAGUUCAGAUAUAGUAAAAUCCGUACUCAUUCCAGAACAUCUGAACUGCACAAGACCCUUGUGGUUUUGGUUUUGGUUGCAACGCUGUCAGACUCAGACUAAUUUCACAAGUUCAGAUAUAGUAAGAUUCGUACUCAUUCCAGAACAUCGGAACUGCACAAGAUCCUUGUAGUUUUAGAUCAUACAGAAACAAAGCACAACAGGAUUAUCCCUGAAAAUGGAAUACAAAAGGAUCAUUUUCCACAUGAUACAAGUACUAUGCUUCUUACCAAAUUAGCCUUAGUAAGUUCAAUGUUCACGUGGUAGAGACAAAUUUAAUUUAUCCUUUAUGGUACAUAUAUCAUGAAAAUAAUAUUGUAUACGCAAUAGUCACCAUGCUUUAAGUUAACAUUUACCAUUCAUUAGAACAAAAGAUUCACAUAUAUUAUCUUCAUUAAUGUUUCGUAAUGGAUUGCAAACUAAGAGUCAUUAUGAAGAAUUUGUAGGUAUCAAAGAGGGUAAGUUGUACCACCGAUUACCGAAAUCACUUAAAUGAGGUCACCAAGGUGGAAUUUGUGACCAUUUUGCUGGGAUAAUAGCAGGUUGAUGAUAGGUGGAGGCAUUGGGAUUCCAGGAAGCACCACCUACCAGUACACCUUUGGUAUCUCCUCAGAGUUUGGCAUCGCCGUCAUGGUCGCAUCGGCAAAACUCGCAAGCCAGAUUCCCUAUCCUGUAGUGAC
rnacentral:lncRNA from 1 species